rnacentral:lncRNA from 1 species
CCUUGAUGGCGGGUAGUGGUCCAGGUGUCAUGCUGUCUCAGCUCACCCUGGUUUCUGGGAACACAACAGAAGAGGACCUGCUUCGGUCUGGCUCCCCUGGGCCUUCCUUUCUUCCCCACGUCUCCCAGGAUACAGUCCAUGGCUCCCGGCCAGUGAGUUCUGCAUUGCCUACGGCUCCUGGUACUCAGCUGCUCUUGGCUUAGGGUGUUUGCCAAGGCUGAAUGGUUCCAUGGAAACAUACUACUGUAAAAGUCCAUCAUGACACGGGAACUUGCUCCAUGCUGUAGUGACAAGGCACAAUUCUUCAGCUCUCAGGAUGAUGACUGUACCAUGUAAAGAGGAACCUAGCACAGUGAUGGCCCCACGUCACAUGCCCUGGGGCACUCAGCCUCUGAUGGAAAUCUCUGGUCACCCCCCCCCCCCCCACCACCCCGCACCCCACCCCAGGUCAGGACUCUCAUCAUGGCCGUAGGUUUCUGCAGGUCUCUUCUGCUCCUCCCUGGAUAGGGACUGCAUGGGUGGGAGAGACAUGGUGCGUCGUCAUUAACACUCAAAGCUAUUUUGAUUUGGUUACAAGAUUUACAACUCCUCUGAAUCCAAAAAGGACUAGAAGCUUGCAUUACCAAUUUAUACAUAUAGAAGAACAAAUAAAAUUUAAAUUAAGCCUGAGCAAUAAUGACAAAAGACAGAAGGAUCAAUUGUUCAUUUGACUAAGAUACUAAGAUAGCCAGGCAUGGUGGCACAUACCUGUUAUCCCAGCCUCCAGGAGGCUGAUGCAGGAGAAUUAUCAUUUGAGGCCAGCCUAACCUACAUAGUGAGACCCCGUCUCAAAAAACAAAAACAAAAACACACAUAAUUUCGAGCUCCUGGUCCCAAGCCCAAGGCACAAGAAACUGUAUCAUGCUGUUCUAUUGUCUCACAGAGGUUGGGAUUCUCAGGUAGACGGGACAGAGUGCUCUGUUUGAGCAGGAAGGAUUCCCUUAGAUCCCUGGGAAGGGGCCUCCUGCUGCAGAGUAAGCAGUGGUGCAGAGGAGAGGCCUUCUAGAAGGAUUCAGCGGCCACUCUGCCUCCAGGUUUCUUAUUUACAUAUCUCUUCUUCCCCACUCCCAGGGCCCCGACUUGGUGUUUACCAGUGAAUUCAUUGUGAAAGUGCAGCUCCAGUCACCUCUGGAACCUGCAGAUGGCAUAAUUAGGGAGCAGGGCACUGAUGGUGUUAGUGGACAGCACUGAGCGAGGUCACGCUUGUGUGCAUCAUUACCCCCACUGUGUCUGCACCCCUCCUCAUGAU